rnacentral:rRNA from 1 species
AGUGACGGCUAACUACGUGCCAGCAGCCGCGGUCAAACGGAGGUCACAAGCGUUGUCCGGAAUUACUGGGUGUAAAGGGAGCGCAGGCGGGAAGACAAGUUGGAAGUGAAAUCCAUGGGCUCAACCCAUGAACUGCUUUCAAAACUGUUUUUCUUGAGUAGUGCAGAGGUAGGCGGAAUUCCCGGUGUAGCGGUGGAAUGCGUAGAUAUCGGGAGGAACACCAGUGGCGAAGGCGGCCUACUGGGCACCAACUGACGCUGAGGCUCGAAAGUGUGGGUAGCAAACAGGAUUAGAUACCCUGGUAGUCCACACCGUAAACGAUGAUUACUAGGUGUUGGAGGAUUGACCCCUUCAGUGCCGCAGUUAACACAAUAAGUAAUCCACCUGGGGAGUACGACCGCAAGGUUGAAACUCAAAGGAAUUGACGGGGGCCCGCACAAGCAGUGGAGUAUGUGGUUUAAUUCGACGCAACGCGAAGAACCUUACCAAGUCUUGACAUCCUGCGACGGUGCUAGAAAUAGUAUUUUCCUUCGGGACGCAGAGACAGGUGGUGCAUGGUUGUCGUCAGCUCGUGUCGUGAGAUGUUGGGUUAAGUCCCGCAACGAGCGCAACCCUUAUGGUCAGUUACUACGCAAGAGGACUCUGGCCAGACUGCCGUUGACAAA